rnacentral:lncRNA from 1 species
GGCAAGCUGCCUUAAUUUCCUCGGUAUUUGAGUCCUGAAGGAGGAGAUGCCAAUCAUGAAAUCAGCCAGGGGCAAGUCUAACAACACAGGGAAUAACAAGGUCCUGGGGCAGGGCAUGUUUUUAGGAGCAGAAAAUUUGCUACUAUAGCUCAAAUAUAGUAAGAAGGAACGGUAGAGAGUGUGUGGAAUUCACACCAAGUUAUGAUGGAUUGUUAAGUUUAGAUUUUGUUCAAGAGGCCGUUGCUAUUUUUAAAAAGUGCAUAUUAACUCAGGAGUGUCAAAUAACUGUAUUCUUCUUUUCUUUUCUAGGAGAACAUAAGAAUUCCUUUUGUUUUUUGCCUACUCUUCUCCUACCACCUCUUUUCUACUACAAUGUUAUGAUAAGAGCAGCUGCCUUGGCAGUUUCUAAUUGCAGAUGUGGAAUCUAUUUCAAAUGAGUAAACUCUCCAAAGAAAAGUGUACUUUUUUUUGGCCACAGGAAUCUUCAGUGACUUAAUUAACAGGUGAGUGGCAUUGCUCCUGAACAGAGCUACCUAGUUAUAAUCUGUGUUACCUUUGCUUUAAAAUGUUCUCUUUACUCCAUUUCCUUAGUUGAUAUGCUUGAGGCAUCUUGUUGAAUCCAUCAUUUAUUCACCCACUCAUUCAUUUAACAUGUAUUUGCAGUUGCAAAGCAGGCAGUAGG